rnacentral:rRNA from 1 species
GACGAACGCUGGCGGCGUGCCUAAUACAUGCAAGUCGAACGCACAGUUUAUACCGUAGCUUGCUACACCAUAAACUGUGAGUUGCGAACGGGUGAGUAACGCGUAGGUAACCUGCCUGGUAGCGGGGGAUAACUAUUGGAAACGAUAGCUAAUACCGCAUAAUAUUAAUUAUUGCAUGAUAAUUGAUUGAAAGAUGCAAUUGCAUCACUACCAGAUGGACCUGCGUUGUAUUAGCUAGUAGGUGAGGUAACGGCUCACCUAGGCGACGAUACAUAGCCGACCUGAGAGGGUGAUCGGCCACACUGGGACUGAGACACGGCCCAGACUCCUACGGGAGGCAGCAGUAGGGAAUCUUCGGCAAUGGACGAAAGUCUGACCGAGCAACGCCGCGGGAGUGAAGAAGGGUUUCGGAUCGUAAAGCUCUGUUGUAAGAGAAGAACGGGUGUGAGAGUGGAAAGUUCACACUGUGACGGUAGCUUACCAGAAAGGGACGGCUAACUACGUG